AUUGAACGCUGGCGGCGUGCCUAACACAUGCAAGUCGAGCGGUAACAGGUGUAGCAAUACAUGCUGACGAGCGGCGACGGGUGAGUAACGCUUGGGAAUCUGCCUAUUAGUGGGGGACAACCCGGGGAAACUCGGGCUAAUACCGCAUACGCUCUACGGAGGAAAGCCGGGGACCGCAAGGCCUGGCGCUAAUAGAUGAGCCCAAGUCGGAUUAGCUAGUUGGUAGGGUAAUGGCCUACCAAGGCGACGAUCCGUAACUGGUCUGAGAGGACGACCAGGUCACACCGGAACUGAGACACGGUCCGGACUCCUACGGGAGGCAGCAGUGGGGAAUAUUGCGCAAUGGGCGAAAGCCUGACGCAGCGACGCCGCGUGAGGGAUGACGGCCUCGGU
rnacentral:rRNA from 1 species